rnacentral:lncRNA from 1 species
CAGAUUUGCUUCAUCCAGUGUACCUGCCCUUCACUUUGCAAGUAUGCAUCAUCCCAGCCUACAAAGUAACAAAGAAGUUCUAGUGACUUCCGUGAAAGCAUCCAUUGCCUUUGUGGCUUUCCAUUUUUUGUGAAUUCUAUAGCUUGAGGUGUUAACUGUUCAUUUUGUUUAGCUUCUGCUGGCUCCAAAGAAGAACUCUGUUACCUGCAGCCUCUCCUGGGUUUGAGUGGAGAUGGUGAGAUUUUAAACCAGUACAAAAAACUAAAUAGGUUGGGAAGCGCUGACAACCAGUCAGAAAACUUUGAACCCAAUCUAAAAGGAGUUAUUGAACAAUCCAGCAGGACUGGUAAAGAAGAUACAAAAGUAUGAUAGAUCAUACUAGACUAGAGCUCCUCAUGUUGCAGUGUGGUCAUUCUCCAGCUCAUGGAAGAGGUAAAAUAUUUCUUCUUGACAGUUCUUACAAUAUUUGAAAAUCAAUUUUAAGCCACUCCUAGUUUUAAACUAUUGAACAUAAUGGAAUUUAUAUUUUGAAUAUAAGACUGGGUGUCUCAGUAGAUUAAGCAUCUGCCUUUGGCUCAGGUCAUGAUCACAGGAUCCUGGGAUUAAGCCCUGCAAGGGGACUCCCAGUUCAGGAGGGAGCCUGCUUCUCCUUCUCCCCCCAACCCCCUGCUCAUGCUUUCUCUCCUAUCUCUCUCUAAUAAAUAAAUAAAAUCUUAAAAAAAAAAACA